CUAUCUCGAUACUCGUUAUCGAAUAUGAUCGGAGUAGGAAACGUUAACAACUAUCAUGCGUUUAUCGAAUGCUUUUCAUUCACUCACCCAGUGCUGCGUCGUCACCACUUCGCCAUCCGCUCCGUCGAGGGCCUGCUAAAUAAACGAGCACAAGAUCAGACUCCUGGGUGUGUGUAUCUGCGGCGCCUGAAACAUUCGAAGGAGACAGCCCUUUAUCAUCGACAAAUUCUCUGGAAGAUUAGAAAAGAGAAAAAGAAGGGGGAAAGGGGAUGGAAAGAAACACUAACCGGCUGUGGAACUUGGUAACCGUGCUCCGUUGGUGCCGGUGGCUGCUGCGGCAGGGUUAGCAGCGGGGGUGGGCGUCCCCACGGACGGUGGAACAGCCCUGGUCCCGAACGGGAAGUACGGAGAAUCCGGGGGAUAAGUGGCGCCCUCGACACCUCCUCCGCCUCCACCGCUGCCAUUUCCGCCGCCACCGCCACCGCCACCUCCGCCGCCACCACCACCUCCACCUCCACCUGGCCCCCCGCCUGGCCCUCCUGCCGUUGGACCGUACGUUCCGCCACCGUACGUCUGUAAACAAAAUUUUUUCCCUUUUUUUUCCCUCUCGCUGUUUGACCAACGGUACAUCGAGUGUCCCAUUCAACUAACAAAUCCUGUACGUUACUUCUCAAUAAAGAAAAUUUAUUUCCUAA